GACGAACGCUGGCGGCGUGCUUAACACAUGCAAGUCGAACGGAAAGGCCCUGCUUUUGUGGUGUGCUCGAGUGGCGAACGGGUGAGUAACACGUGAGUAACCUGCCUUUGACUUUGGGAUAACUUCAGGAAACUGGGGCUAAUACCGGAUAGGAGCUCCUGCUGCAUGGUGGUGGUUGGAAAGGUUCGGCGGUUGGGGAUGGACUCGCGGCUUAUCAGCUUGUUGGUGGGGUAGUGGCUUACCAAGGCUUUGACGGGUAGCCGGCCUGAGAGGGUGACCGGCCACAUUGGGACUGAGAUACGGCCCAGACUCCUACGGGAGGCAGCAGUGGGGAAUAUUGCACAAUGGGCGGAAGCCUGAUGCAGCAACGCCGCGUGCGGGAUGACGGCCUUCGGGUUGUAAACCGCUUUCGCCUGUGACGAAGCGUGAGUGACGGUAAUGGGUAAAGAAGCACCGGCUAACUACGUG
rnacentral:rRNA from 1 species